GUCAGCUGCAUAGCUCAGUUGGUGAGAGCAUGGUGCAGAUAACACCAAGGUUGCAGGUUUGAUCCCCUCCAGACA